CUUACAAAAACUGGAGUGAUGACAAGCUCCCUAGAGAUGGAGGAAUGGAGCCAUUGAGGAAGUUAUCAUUCAGCUUGCUGUGGCCAGUAUUUAGUAGAUGAUCGGUGAUAACAUUAAACUGUCAAUCAAGAAGUGAAAGAAAUUUUGGGGAGAGAGAGAAAGACUCACAGGUUAACCAGAUACUUCAGCUUCCCUAAGGAGUCAGGAAUAACACAACGAAGACGGUUGAAGGACAAAUCCCUGUUGCAGGUAAAACCAUCAAAUACUUUCCUUCUUUGCUUUCAAUAAAUAAUUUAUGUAACCAAAUUAAGUAGUUAAGACCUGGCUAUGUUUUACCUUUCUUGUACUGUAUUUUACAUGUGUUUUCUACUAGCGCUUUUAUAUAACUCUCUGAUCUUCUUUACCACAACAGAAUAAAAAACAGAGCUAUUCUCUCAUUUUCUGAGAAUUGUUCACCGCUACUGAUCCCAAAUUCUACAUGGUAUCAGAGUAGGUAGAGAGAGAAUGGUCAAUCUUUGUUUUCAAUUGAUUUCCUUUUUUUUUUCCUAAAAUCUUUGAUAAAGAAAGCGAAACCGUGAGAAAAGUGGAAGUAGCACAACGAGAGGAAACGGUACAACUGUUGCCUGGAAAGAAGAUGGCUCCGAUGGAAUUCUGGUGCUGCAAGGGCCAGAUCGCUGUGGAAUGAUCUUAGUUUCGGCGCCUUUCAUCGGAUGCAUUUAUCGAAUGUGGAGUUGAGCAAUGCGCAUCACACUCGGGGCAAAGAACAAGUUAGGGUUUGUCGAAGUAAAAAAUUGAAGUUCCAGAGGAGGAAUCAAAAAGAGUUUUAAAGAAGUGGAAAGGAUGUGUUACAUGGCAACGUCAUGGAUUGGAAUUCAGUUUCUAAAAAUCUCAUGCAACAAUUCAAUCCACUUAUUUCCUUUUCUAACAAUCUUUAGCUUGACCUUUCUUCGGUCUUUAGUGGCUUUGGUGAGAGGGUUUUGGUCUAGGCCUGGUUGUGGAGGAAUGCUCUUUUCCGUUCUUGCCUUCCGGAAGGUUCUUCUUGUAUGUGUGAUGCCGUAACUCGGGACCAUUGCUCCCGCAAGCUGUAGUUGGUUGAGAAUUUUACCGCAUCGUCUUUCUGGAUUUAGUGUUUGAAUCUGUUUUAAGUUUGUUUUGCUUUGGGUCUUUGUUUUGCUAUUUUGUGCCUUGCAUUUUUUUAUUUCCUUUGCAUGUUCGUGUUGCUUUAUCUCGAUUGCUACCAUCGGCACUCAGUUCUCCAUAUUUUCAGUGACAGAUUAAUGUGCGAGGCGGUGCUGGUGUGAAUCGGUGAUUCUAUCAAGUCGGUGCUGCUGUUUGGAUGAUUGGAUUGUCAGUUUGGGUGUUGGUUUGAUUGAUUGUUUGGUUUGAUUUAUUUUGACUUGAUUUUAUUUUUAUUUUUAUUUUCUUUGGAUAUUUGGCAAAUUCUUCUUUCCCUCUAGUUUGCUGUCCUUCGGGUUUUGAGAAACGUAAAUAUUUCAGCAUGAUAAAAAAAUUUUAUUGUAAAAGACUCGGAUAUUUAUCAUAUUUUGUUCAAUA